AGGAUGUCAGUGUUUGUGUACACACAGUGUGUAUACAGGGUGCGCACUGUUGUUAGUUAGUGCUGUGAAUACAGUGAGGUUGUCAGUGUUUGUGUACACACAGUGUGUAUACAGGGUGCGCACUGUUGUUAGUUAGUGCUGUGUAUACAGUGAGGAUGUCAGUGUUUGUGUACACACAGUGUGUAUACAGGGUGCACACUGUUGUUAGUUAGUGCUGUGUAUACAGUGAGGAUGUCAGUGUUUGUGUACACACAGUGUGUAUACAGGGUGCGCACUGUUGUUAGUUAGUGCUGUGUAUACAGUGAGGAUGUCAGUGUUUGUGUACACACAGUGUGUAUACAGGAUGCGCACUGUUGUUAGUUAGUGCUGUGUAUACAGUGAGGAUGUCAGUCCCCUCCUUGCUGUGCUCUCUCCUCCCUCCAUAGGGCAGUAUUAGCCAUCUCUCUCUCUCUAUAUCAGACACAGGAUCUGCUUUUCGCAGCCGCCGCCUUGCCGUCAGCUUGCCCGGAGCCUGCUCUCCGCUACCCUUCAGCAGCCAUGACCGAACAGGGCAGCAGCAGCAGCAGCAGCCGAUAUCAGCAGGUAGGAAA